UGCUUCUUCUCUCUUCUAAAAUCUAAAAGUCUCAUUGGUCAGCUCUGGUGGCUUAGACAACAUAGGAGCAGAUCCUUUCGUUCUAUGCUUAGCUGGGUUUAUCAAUCGAUUUACUUUCAGAUGGUGUCGAUCUUGUCUGGUCGGCUGCAGGGUUUAUGUUUUAUCUAUCUUGCACAUCUGUUGUUUGGUCUUUGAUUCAGAGUAGUUGUGCCAUGCCAGUACUUGGUUAAUUCUAGGCUUGUUCUUUACUUGUCUCUACUUCAACAACGGUGAUAGCGUUGUCUUAGUAUUGGCGUGGUAGUGUGUUGUGAGCAGAAAAAGUCAAACAUCAAUCAUGUAGAAGAAAUUGGUUUCCUGACAUUUCUCCAUCUCCAGUUUGGAAGGAGCCAUGCUCUCAGUCUUUUAAUAAGUGAUCCUCCCAAUUUAUUUUCAUCCUCUCUCGUUUCUAGUGCUCAGUUCUUGGCAUCGUUCCCUCUCUUGUGUACUCUCAAUGCAUGAUUGCCAGCUGAUCAAAGAUUUUUGAUUUCUUUCUAUUAUCUUCAUCAAGUAGUGUUUAUGGCUUUUAUUUGAAGAUCUUUAGCUAUCGUUUUAGUUUUUGGUUUAGUCCUAGUCUCUUUUGUUUGGGAGUACGUUUUCCUUUUUUGGGCUAUGUUUCCAGAGAUUUCAAUGUGUUUAUUCAUGUACGUGGCUUUUGUAUCUUUGUUUUUCUCCUGUUAUCAAUUAAAUUGAGAUGACCAAAACAAAA